rnacentral:rRNA from 1 species
UACGAAGGGGGCUAGCGUUGCUCGGAAUUAUUGGGCGUAAAGCGCACGUAGGCGGCUCUAUAAGUCGGAUGUGAAAUCCCUCGGCUUAACCAAGGAAGUGCAUCCGAAACUGUGGAGCUUGAGUACUUAAGAGGAUCGCGGAAUUCCCGGUGUAGAGGUGAAAUUCGUAGAUAUCGGGAGGAACACCAGUGGCGAAGGCGGCGAUCUGGGAAGAUACUGACGCUGAGGUGCGAAAGCGUGGGGAGCAAACAGG